GGACUACAGGGGUAUCUAAUCCUGUUCGCUCCCCACGCUUUCGCUCCUCAGCGUCAGUUACUGCCCAGAGACCCGCCUUCGCCACCGGUGUUCCUCCUGAUAUCUGCGCAUUCCACCGCUACACCAGGAAUUCCAGUCUCCCCUGCAGUACUCCAGUCUGCCCGUAUCGCCCGCACGCCGAGGGUUAAGCCCCCGGUUUUCACGAACAACGCGACAAACCACCUACGAGCUCUUUACGCCCAGUAAUUCCGGACAACGCUCGCACCCUACGUAUUACCGCGGCGGCUGGCAC
rnacentral:rRNA from 1 species